ACCCACCUUUCCCUAAUUCUCCCAUCUUUCUUGGCUUGCUUUCACUCCUUUGCUUCCUCUACUGCCUCCUCCCUUCCAUGUGGCACAGGAGAUGGGGAGCAGGUGUUGCAGUCAGCCCAUAAGAGUUCCUCUCUGCUGCUUCUUCCGCUAAACACUUUUCAGAUAUGUGCAAAGGACGGAAAAGUAAUAAAUCUAUGCUCAUGCAGCAGGAGAGGCAGACCACUGCAUACCUGGACUUCCCACCAUGAUCAACUCCCUGGGCCAUUUCUCCUCAGCAGCUUUUGACUCUGGUAAUUGCCCCUGGCUGUGAAAGUCACUAAAUUUUCCCCUUCACUAAAUAUCACGGAGGCACAAGAACCUCAUCACAGUGCUGAAUCCAUCCCCUUGGCUUCCUCAAAUGGCCUUUUGCUCUUUGCUUUCCAUGGCAGCAUAAUGAAAUGAGGCAGCAGUUUCAUUACAGUAUGCUCCAAAUGCUGUUUUAUGUAAUGUUGUUUGCAGCUCUGUAGUUUGCUUCCUUACUGCCAGUUUCAUCGCCGUCUAUAAAGCUUAAUUCAAUUGUUUGUUGAUUACCUCUUUGGAUUAGUGCAUAAAUCUCAAAUUGAAGCUGCUAGAAGCAUUGGUAGGGCUAUAGAUGUCACAAGACUUUGUCUCUCUAUUUUUGUGUCCUUAUCUGGGGUUACACUGGAGUAAACCUUUGCUGCUGUUGUAAAGAUGUUCAG
rnacentral:lncRNA from 1 species